rnacentral:rRNA from 1 species
GAUGAACGCUAGCGACAGGCCUAACACAUGCAAGUCGAGGGGCAGCACGAAGUAAGCUUGCUUACUUUGGUGGCGACCGGCGCACGGGUGAGUAACACGUAUCCAAACCUGGGCCCAUACUCGGGUAUAGCCUCUCGAAAGGGAGAUUAAUCCCCGAUGUUGUUGUUUCACCGCAUGGUGUUGCAACCAAAGAAUUUCGGUAUGGGAUGGGGAUGCGUUCCAUUAGCUUGUUGGCGGGUAACGGCCCACCAAGGCGACGAUGGAUAGGGGUUCUGAGAGGAAGGUCCCCCACACUGGAACUGAGACACGGUCCAGACUCCUACGGGAGGCAGCAGUGAGGAAUAUUGGUCAAUGGGCGAGAGCCUGAACCAGCCAAGUAGCGUGAAGGAUGACUGCCCUACGGGUUGUAAACUUCUUUUGUUUGGGAAUAAAGUUCAGCACGUGUGCUGUUUUGUAUGUACCAUUCGAAUAAGCAUCGGCUAAUUCCGUG